rnacentral:lncRNA from 1 species
GUCAAUGAAUAAGCAGCCUCAAUUUUCCCCUCCUCUUAAAAGCUUCCCUUCUGACAUCACCUCACCAAAGCUGGCUUCAGCCCCAUGGCUGUUAUAAGGACCCUGCAUGGACUCCUGAGCAGAAAGCAAUAGAUUACUUUGACUUCAGUCAGCAGGCAGGCUAACUUAACAAGUCCAGGAAUGGCAAGGCUGGGCAGAGAAGUGCAGACACAUCCUCUGUAAGUGUGGCAGCUGUUAAUGGUUGCCAACUCAACAGAAUCUAACAUCAAGGAAGAGACAGGAUUCUGGGAGGAAGUUUCCAGAUUAAGCUAACUGAGGUGGGGAGCCCCACCCUGACUGAGGCUGGCAUCACCCCGAGGGCUGGAUCCCUAUGCCCUCCACCACAUCCGAGGCAAGCCAUGCCAGAUGAGCAACUUUGAUUCUCCAUUUCCUCUUCUCUGCGGCCAAGCUCUAAGAGUGGUAACACCUGGUCUUGUGUAGACACUGAGCACAGGGCCUUGACAUGUGCUUCUAGGACACCAGUGUCAUCUGUGUCACAGAAAAACAGACAGGUUGACGGCAGCACCAGGCUUGUUAGUGACCACAAAGACUCAUGGGACCCAGGCCAAGCUCACAGCCAGUGCCCUUCAGAUGACCAACUGGAAAUGUGGUCCUCCCAAGUGUGUCCCCACGACCCAAAAGAAACACAGAGAGUGAAAUUACCAGCUGUCAGCCAAGAGCCACGCAGGACCUCAUGAGAGCACUGCCCACGGUCACAGCUGGAAUGUGUUGGUGGUAGGGACUGUAAAGAGGGGUGCCCUCAUAUUUAAGAUGCUGUAGAAAGACAAGAUGUCCCCAUAAACAUGAUUGUCCCUAACGCAGAGAUCAGCUCCAAGUCAGAGACGGUGAGGGCAACCCUUAGAAGGGCCAAAAGUGACCAAGAUUUUGGAGAGAGAACCGAAGUCAAGGCCACCUCCCUCCGGCUGCAAAGGCCACACGUGCACAGGGCCUGGGGCCACCACCCCCACCUCACUGGCCCGGAUCCAUCUGCCGGCACUGUGUCUGCUGCUGUUUAGACAGCCUGCUAGGGUGGGUGGUCAGGUCUGAGCCAGGCAAAGUUUACAGAAGGCCCUGGCACAAAUGAACUGUUGAUGACCGACUGGAAGGGCUCCGUGAAAUCACAACAUGUAAAAUAUGGAAAGGGGAAUAAAGGAAAGACACGCCAUUUGGAGAAACCCUAUGACAAUGGCUGUCCUACCAU